AACGAACGUUGGCGGCGUGGAUUAGGCAUGCAAGUCGAACGAAUCCCAGGGGGCUUGCUCUCUGGGGGAAGUGGCGAAAGGGGCAGUAAGGCGUGGGUAAUCUACCCGGGGGACUGGGAUAGCCCUCCUAACGGAGGGGUAAUACCGGGCGACGUGGCGGGGGGCAUCCUCCUGCCACCAAAUGAAUUUCGCCCCCGGAGGAACUCACGUGGUAUUAGCUUGUUGGUGGGGUAACGGCCCACCAAGGCCAAGAUGCCUAGCAGGUGUGAGAGCACGACCUGCGCCACUGGCACUGAGACACUGGCCAGACUCCUACGGGAGGCUGCAGUCGAGGAUCUUCGGCAAUGGGCGCAAGCCUGACCGAGCGACGCCGCGUGUGCGAUGAAGGCCUUCGGGUUGUAAAGCACUGUCGAGGGGGAGGAAAGCCGCAAGGCUUGACCUAUCCCUGGAGGAAGCACGGGCUAAGUUCGUGCCAGCAGCCGCGGUAAGAC
rnacentral:rRNA from 1 species